UACGUAGGGUGCGAGCGUUGUCCGGAAUUAUUGGGCGUAAAGAGCUCGUAGGCGGCUUAGCAAGUCGGGUGUGAAGACUUCAGGCUCAACCUGGAGAUGCCACUCGAUACUGCUAUAGCUAGAGUCCGGUAGGGGAUCACGGAAUUCCUGGUGUAGCGGUGAAAUGCGCAGAUAUCAGGAGGAACACCGGUGGCGAAGGCGGUGGUCUGGGCCGGAACUGACGCUGAGGAGCGAAAGCGUGGGUAGCAAACAGG
rnacentral:rRNA from 1 species